UACGGAGGGUGCGAGCGUUGUCCGGAAUCACUGGGCGUAAAGGGCGCGUAGGCGGCCUGACAAGCGUGUGGUGAAAGCUCGGGGCUCAACCCCGAGUCGGCCGUGCGAACUGUUGGGCUGGAGUGCUGUAGAGGCGGGCAGAAUUCCGGGUGUAGCGGUGGAAUGCGUAGAGAUCCGGAAGAACACCGGUGGCGAAGGCGGCCCGCUGGGCAGUGACUGACGCUGAGGCGCGACAGCGUGGGGAGCAAACAGG
rnacentral:rRNA from 1 species